GCAGGGGAUCGCAAGACCUUGCGCUGAUUGAGCGGCCGAUAUCAGAUUAGCUAGUUGGUGAGGUAAAGGCUCACCAAGGCGACGAUCUGUAGCGGGUCUGAGAGGAUGAUCCGCCACACUGGAACUGAGACACGGUCCAGACUCCUACGGGAGGCAGCAGUGGGGAAUUUUGGACAAUGGGGGCAACCCUGAUCCAGCCAUGCCGCGUGAGUGAAGAAGGCCUUCGGGUUGUAAAGCUCUUUCGGCCGGGAAGAAAUCGUAUGGGUUAAUACCCUGUGCGGAUGACGGUACCGGCAUAAGAAGCACCGGCUAACUACGUGCCAGCAGCCGCGGUAAUACGUAGGGUGCGAGCGUUAAUCGGAAUUACUGGGCGUAAAGCGUGCGCAGGCGGUUUUGUAAGACAGGCGUGAAAUCCCCGGGCUCAACCUGGGAACUGCGCUUGUGACUGCAAGGCUAGAGUAUGGCAGAGGGGGGUGGAAUUCCACGUGUAGCAGUGAAAUGCGUAGAGAUGUGGAGGAACACCAAUGGCGAAGGCAGCCCCCUGGGCCAAUACUGACGCUCAUGCACGAAAGCGUGGGUAGCAAACAGGAUUAGAUACCCUGGUAGUCCACGCCCUAAACGAUGUCAACUAGGUGUUGGGUGGGUAAAACCAUUUAGUACCGGAGCUAACGCGUGAAGUUGACCGCCUGGGGAGUACGGCCGCAAGGUUAAAACUCAAAGGAAUUGACGGGGACCCGCACAAGCGGUGGAUGAUGUGGAUUAAUUCGAUGCAACGCGAAAAACCUUACCUACCCUUGACAUGUCCAGGAGCCUGAAGAGAUUUGGGUGUGCCCGAAAGGGAACUGGAACACAGGUGCUGCAUGGCUGUCGUCAGCUCGUGUCGUGAGAUGUUGGGUUAAGUCCCGCAACGAGCGCAACCCUUGUCGUUAAUUGCCAUCAUUUAGUUGGGCACUUUAACGAGACUGCCGGUGACAAACCGGAGGAAGGUGGGGAUGACGUCAAGUCCUCAUGGCCCUUAUGGGUAGGGCUUCACACGUCAUACAAUGGUCGGUACAAAGGGUUGCCAACCCGCGAGGGGGAGCCAAUCCCAGAAAGCCGAUCGUAGUCCGGAUCGCAGGCUGCAACUCGCCUGCGUGAAGUCGGAAUCGCUAGUAAUCGUGGAUCAGCAUGUCACGGUGAAUACGUUCCCGGGUCUUGUACACACCGCCCGUCACACCAUGGGAGCGGGUUCCGCCAGAAGUAGGUAGCCUAACCGCAAGGGGGGCGCUUACCACGGCGGGGUUCGUGACUGGGGUGAAGUCGG
rnacentral:rRNA from 1 species